rnacentral:rRNA from 1 species
GUACACGCUGUGACUAGCAUAUCAAUAAGCGGAGGAAAAGAAACUAACAAGGAUUCCCCUAGUAACGGCGAGUGAAGCGGGAAGAGCUCAAAUUUGAAAUCUUAAAGGGUUUCCCUUUACGAAUUGUAGUUUAAAGAAGUGUUUUCUGUUGAGGUUUUGGUAAAAGUUCUUUGGAAUAGGACAUCAUAGAGGGUGAGAAUCCCGUAUUUGACCUUUACUUUCAACUUUGUGAUACACUUUCAAAGAGUCGGAUUGUUUGGGAAUGCAGUCCAAAAUGGGUGGUAAAUUUCAUCUAAAGCUAAAUAUUGGCGAGAGACCGAUAGCGAACAAGUACCGUGAGGGAAAGAUGAAAAGAACUUUGAAAAGAGGGUUAAACAGUACGUGAAAUUGUCAAAAGGGAAGCGUUUGACACCAGUGUUGUUUUUCUGAAAAUCAAUUAAAGAACUGUUUAUGCUAAGCUGUUUAGACUUUAUCAGCUAUCUGUUUAGUUUUGAGCUUUUCUUUAAUGCACUUUUCAGUUAACAAGUCAACAUCAAUUUCUUUUGCUGUAAAAAAGCUUGAGGAAGGUGGCUUGAGAUUCGUCUUAAGUGUUUAUAGCCUCUUGCCUAUGCAGUCGGAGAGAUUGAGGUCUGCAGCGUAGAUCCUUCGGGGCUAAAUGCAUUUGUGCUAAGUUAUAGCAUUUUAUAGACAACUUGUUGACUAUGAUUUGUCUUGUAGCUUACUCGCUUAUGUUAUUUUACCUACGCUUAGGAUGUUGAAGAUGUAGCACAUCAU